GCUGGAAUGCUCAGUUGGUUAGAGCGUGUGGCUGUUAACCACAAAAGGUUGAAGGUUCAAGCCCUCCUUCUAGCG
rnacentral:tRNA from 1 species